rnacentral:rRNA from 1 species
CCUACGGGAGGCUGCAGUAGGGAAUCUUCCACAAUGGGCGAAAGCCUGAUGGAGCAACGCCGCGUGGGUGAAGAAGGUCUUCGGAUCGUAAAACCCUGUUGUUAGAGAAGAAAGUGCGUGAGAGUAACUGUUCACGUUUCGACGGUAUCUACCCAGAAAGCCACGGCUAACUACGUGCCAGCAGCCGCGGUAAUACGUAGGUGGCAAGCGUUAUCCGGAUUUAUUGGGCGUAAAGGGAACGCAGGCGGUCUUUUAAGUCUGAUGUGAAAGCCUUCGGCUUAACCGGAGUAGUGCAUUGGAAACUGGGAGACUGGAGUGCAGAAGAGGAGAGUGGAACUCCAUGUGUAGCGGUGAAAUGCGUAGAUAUAUGGAAGAACACCAGUGGCGAAAGCGGCUCUCUGGUCUGUAACUGACGCUGAGGUUCGAAAGCGUGGGUAGCAAACAGGAUUAGAUACCCGCGUAGUC